ACACAAUAUGCUCGAUAUGUGCAAAUACAACAUGGCUUCACAACAUAACUCUAUGACUCAAAGUAUUUAUUCAUAAGGCUCCGAAGAGUCAUACAUAGUAAGAAUUACAAUCAUGGUUCACAUGACCCAACAUACAGAGCAUACAGGCAACAGAAGUAUAACAUGUCUGAGUACAGACAACUACAAAUGAAAAAUACUAAGAAGCCUGACUAUCUACAAGACCCUCCCAAGGGUACAAGAUCGUAACUGAGGUAACAAGCUAAACGUCGAAGUCCACGCGGAACUACUAGUGAGACUGAAGUCUCUCUGCAAAACAUAAAUUAAGCAAACGUGAGCACAAAUGUACCCAGCAAGACUUACAUCAGAACUAGCUACAUAUGCAUCAGUAUCAACAAAGGGGUGGUGGAGUUUAAUUGCAGCAAGCCAGCUUUGACUCGGUGGCUAUCCUAAACUACGACUGUUGGUAACUCUUUUGAGGUGGCGCACAUGAGUCCACAUAUUCAGCAUAUCAAUACACCACUAUGGAUCCGCUCCCGUCUCCCCACGAGAACGCCAUCCAUAGAACUCACGCUUAUCUUGCGCAUUUUAGAGUAUCCACUUUCACUUGUCUAUGAACUAUACAGGCAACCCAGAGGUCCUUUACCGCGGACGCGGUUAUUCGAAUAGAUCAUGUUAAACCUGCAGGGGUGUACUUCUUCACACACGCUCUCGCCACUUACCACCAUGUACACGUUGUGUAUCUCGGCAACCUUCAAGAGGAAGCCUGGCGAGGGAGUCGGCCACGACCUGAAUAACCACACAAGUCUCUAGUCUAGGUUUAUCGCCUAUUCGGGUUCCAUCCGUAAGGAGAUCCGCCCGGGGUGUCGCUCACGGCCCCAAACGAUGUGAGCAGGGUUCCCAAGCCCUCCAAAUGGGCGACGCUUGGUACACCGUGCCACUGCACCUAGUCUGUCCCAAGCCCACCUAUACCGGGUGCCACUUGGUAGACUACUAGCACUACCUACAAACACCAGAAACUAGUUGCAACUCCUGGACAGAGAUCAGGUUGAUUAAUAAGUCGAGAGAGCUUGGAGUGCCCAGAGCCCAAUGUGUGGUAGUAGCUGUUCAUGGAUCACAAACACAGUACUCAGUUCCUGAGGACGGCUGCACUGAGACAACCCACCAUGUACUCUUACAUGGCCUCUCACCGCUACCUUUACCAAAUCGUGUUCACACACUUAGCUCUCAACAGUAGGACAUGUUCACCACAUUCCAAUUCAUUCCCGAUGAAUCAGACCUGACUCAACUCUAAGCAGUAGUAGGCAUGACAACAAGCAUGAAUGAGUAGGCACAUCAGGGCUCAAACAACAACUACUCAUGCUAGUGGGUUUCAUCUAUUUAUUGUGGCAAUGACAGGUCAUGCAAAGGGAAGGGGUUCAACUACCGCAACAUGUAACAGUUGAAUCAUUGUUGUCCUAAUGCAGUAAAGGAGAGCAGGAGUGAGAGAGUGGGAUUGUAUCAGAAUGAACAAGGGGGUUUUGCUUGCCUGAAAGAUCAAUAGGGGGCACUACUCCUUAAACAGGUACUCUGGAACGGCCUCCGGAGCAGGACCUAUCGAGAAGGACGGUGUCGGCAAUCAAUACACAAGCAUAUGCAACAAUACGAUGCAUGAACAUGGCAUGUAGAUGUGAUGUUGUUUGUGCUAAUGCAACCAGCAACAAGUUCAAUGGAGCUCAUUUGAAUCAAGGAUUCAAAUGCAACUCCAAACUUAAGCAUUUUAAAUGCCCUUUAUGUGUUUUCAUCUAUACAACAGGUUUAGGUUCGUUUGUCAUGCAUGAAACAAGUACAGAUGGAUAGGUUGAAUUUUUCUGAUAAUUUUUCAUAUAUAAAUUAUUUCAAUCUGAGCUAUGGUUGAAUUUAUAUGAAUUUUUGAAGUUUUGCUAAUUUUCUGGAAUUUCCAAAAUAGAAAUAAUCCAGAAAAUGAAUAAUUGCGUCAGCACUAUGUCAUGCCUGCGUCAGCAGGUCAACAGCGCUGACCAGGGUCAAACUUGACGCGUGGGACCCACACGUCAGUGGCACACGGUUAACAGGGGGUUAUUUCUAAUCUAACUAAAAAAAUUAGGGGCGCUGGGGCCCAACUGUCUGUGUCACUGUGGUUAAUUAACUAGGUGAUUAAACCCUAAUUAAGCAGCCACGUCAUCAUCACCGGAUCUAUGCCGGCGAUGACCAAACCGACGGCGAGAGCUCGCCAGACUCGCGUUAGGGACGGCAGUUCGUCGCGCUGCUGGCACCAGGGAGGGGCUCUCGCUCGUCCGCAUCCAAAGAACCGGACGGGAGGCCGCGGGGUGGCCGGAAACGAUGUCGGCGACGACCUCGCGUGGCGGCGCACACACGGGCUCAUCAGGGAGGAGGCUACGAAGCACGGGCGAGCAAGUUGAAUCUUUCUACGGCCAUCUGGGAGCACCAUGAGGACGGUAGCGUCCUCGGGCUCUACUGGUUCGAGCUCUGGACUCGUCGGCGACACGGCCAACGACGGUGAGCUCUCGGUGCUCUUGGGGAAAGCACUACAGGAAGAAAUCGACAACGAUUCUAGGAGGAAACGAUGUUGUGCUCACAGUGAGUUCGUCGGUGGUCUCAACGGGCUCGGGGAGGCAGAGACGGGGGCGAAUCGACGGCGGCGAUCCACGGUUGCCGGUGAGGAAGAUGAUGAUGCUGACGGCGAUGCAGUGCACCCAGGCUUCUGAUCUUUAGCGUUCAGACGAAGACGAGCUUCUCUCAGCGGCUGGACAUGGCAAGGGGCCUAGGGUGCGCGGUGGCUACGGCGGCGAGCAGCGGCGCUCUCCGGUGCGCUCGGUCGUGCGAGGAAGAGAGGGCAGAGGAGGGGAGAGGCUGCGGGUGCGAGAGGGAGAGGUCAGGGGGUGCGUGGCGUCGUCUAGAGCCGUCCAAAGCGAGCAGGCAGGCCGGAGGCGGCCUCGCGCGUGUGUGUGCGCCGGG
rnacentral:lncRNA from 1 species